rnacentral:misc_RNA from 1 species
GAUGAAGAACGUAGCGAAAUGCGAAAAGUAAUGUGAAUUGCAGAAUUCAGUGAAUCAUCGAAUCUUUGAACGCACAUUGCGCCCGCCAGUAUUCUGGCGGGCAUGCCUGUCUGAGCGUCAUUUCAACCCUCACGCCCUUAGGGCGUGGUGUUGGGGAUCGGCCAAGGCCCGCAAGGGACGGCCGGCCCCUAAAUCUAGUGGCGGACCCAUCGUGGCCUCCCCUGCGAAGUAGUAAUAUAUUCCGCAUCGGAUAGCGAUGAGCCCCUGCCGUUAAACCCCCAACUCUUUCAAGGUUGACCUCAGAUCAGGUAGGAAUACCCGCUGAACUUAAGCAUAUCAAUAAGCGGAGGA